rnacentral:rRNA from 1 species
CCGACGGGUGAGUAACACGUAUCCAACCUGCCGUCUACUCUUGGACAGCCUUCUGAAAGGAAGAUUAAUACAAGAUGGCAUCAUGAGUUCACAUGUUCACAUGAUUAAAGGUAUUCCGGUAGACGAUGGGGAUGCGUUCCAUUAGAUAGUAGGCGGGGUAACGGCCCACCUAGUCUUCGAUGGAUAGGGGUUCUGAGAGGAAGGUCCCCCACAUUGGAACUGAGACACGGUCCAA